rnacentral:tmRNA from 1 species
GGCCGUCUCAUCCAGUUUGACUGCUGUGGCUAUUUUCUCCAUCUCGAGAAGAGCCACCGUUUCCUCUGCCCUCUUGUCCAGCAGGGCUGGAAGUGUGGCCUCAUCUACACUUAUUGCCCCAGCAGCCAAUGAUAUCAUUGUGUUCCAAAUUAUGUGUUGGACAGACUUUAAUUUUUCCAAUUGAGAUCUGGUAACAUUUUUACAUUCUUCUGGUAUCUCACCCAAGGUAAAUCUCUUGAUGUGCUCUGUUAAAUUAUUUGCCUGCACGGCCAGAAGAUAGAGUUGCUCCAGGACCUGCUUAUCCUUGGUGCUCCUAAUCAGGUCGGCCGCCAACACCCCCGGGGGCAUACCCAGCCUGAUCUCCAUCUCCAUUCUCUCAUCUGUUUCUACAUCAGCGAGCCUCUUGUAAGGUACACCGGGUUUCCCAAAUGGCCAGAUACCACAGCAAUUCAUGCCUUGUAUCGCCAGAUACUGUCAGGUGUAUAUUUUCUACAGAUAUUGAUGUUAUAGACGCUGUUGUGAAUUUAAUCACACACGAGGGCGCAACUGAAUAUAAAUUCACCUCUUUGAUUCAUGACUGCUUUAGUAUUUCUGGUCUAAAAAACAUCAGCAGCAUCUCUAUGUGCCUACCUCUAAACAGGCCCAAUAAGGAAAAAAAAUACUUUGAACUGUUUAAAGUUGACAUUUCCUGCGAUGAUGCCAAACAGUUUUUGUUUAAUGGCAGGCCUCUAACCAGCGGGCAGGUAGCAUCUUGCCUAGAUUAUUCUCACCUCAAAGCUCAAAUAUUGCCAAUUUUAAAAUUGAUAAUGAGUCUAGAUAACAGAGGGGAGAAAGAGGGCACUUUUCUGGAAAUGGUUAGAUGGUACCAGUCAAAAUUAAUCAAUUUUUUGAGAAAACUGUUAAAGACAACAUCUUCCACACAAUGGUUCAUUACAACCUUUGGACAGGAUGACUUGACCUUUACCCUGGUCAUCGCCUCUUAUUACUUUUAUAAACAUGCUUGUACCGUUGAGACCCUCAUGCACUUGGCUAGACUUUUCUGCGGGGAGCUUGGACACUCUCUCAUUGAUGUGUCCAGUCUUCAGGAACUUGGGCUGUUCUUUUCCUCAAGCUCUAUCCUGGACAGUGUGCCUUUGUUUGCAGAAUAUGUAGAAACUAAACUCAACAUAGACACUCUAGAAAAUGAAAAGAUUGACCAGAUGAUUAAUGAAAUUAGGGGGGGUCUACUGCUGUCUAACAAGGACAUUGUACAAUUUGUGUACCUGGCAUUUUAUGCAUGUUUUAACAAAACUGCCUUCCUGGAAUUUAUUGGAAAGACCUCACCGGACAAUAUCAACACCUACAGUUCUGAAAUUCUUCAUCUGAAACUCUGUGAUGAAUUUUUGGAUAAAAUGUCCAGCUACUAUAACAAGGAAAAAUAUAUUCACACCCAUCUAUUGACAAAGGUUGUCCGUGUACCUGGAGCCAGCUUAGGGUCGUAUGGAGAUACCCCAGGUACUCUCCAGGCCUGGUUUGGACAGACAUCGGACCUGACAGCCUUGUUUGAUUCCAUCAACGAGGAUUUUCCUUUUUAUAGCUCAGAGUCCAGCCUGAAAGAGUUAUUGAAACUAGCAUCCUUAUCUCCACAAGAACUUGAUAACCCAAAGGACAUUCUGUUCCCAGAAAAGCCAAUUUGUCCCACGUACAGAAGUGAAUUUAAAAACAAGACUUAUUUUGUGAUGGUGGCAACAGAUUCUAUAGAAGACUACUGGAAGAAGCACGUCAUUUUCCCCCACUCAAUUAAUUUAGAUGAAUUAACAGACGUGAGAAUCACUGAACUUUUGACCUACUGUGUUAAUGGUUGCACGAGCAACACGGUUGAGGACAAUCUCAUGGUUUCCAGGCACGAAUACUUCAACCCUCAUCUGCCAAUCUAUAAUGUCAUUCUGGAUUUUGAUCUCCCAGUUGAAGUUCCAGGAUAUAAAAUUGAAGACAUAUACAAUCUGUGUCUGCAGAUUCGCCAGGACAUAAUUACUGUCCUCAGCACAAUCCUAAACCUGGAGAUGCCCCCGUCUCAUCCCGUCUAUUUCUUCAAGUCAGAGUGUAACUCUGAUAUAUAUAUGGAACCACGACCAUUUUGUACCUGCAGCAAAAAGAUUGGACUCCGAAUAAUUACACCAUUACCAAUGAGACAUGCUAUAGUUGGAGCAACACCACUAAUAACUCUAGCAAGAGUGAUAAACAGAACUAUCAGACUGAACAAAAGAGUGUGUGAACUAUUCCCCUCAAUCUCUUCAACAGAGUUUUUAUUUGACACGGGUAUCUACAGCCAGGGUCGCUGCAUUCGCCUGCCACACACCUACAAAUUUACAUCUACAGGAUUGCCUGAGAGACUGCUAAAAUUGUUUGUCUGUCACCCAUUUCCAGAUAAGACCUCCUAUGUCAAGAACAGCUUCGUGCUGACAAACCUUUUGUAUCACAGUACCAGUGAGGAUCUAAGAUCUGGAGAUUAUAAUCUAAUAUUGGACAUUCGUGAUAAAGAUGAGGAUUUUUUAUCCUGCAAGACUGUGGCCAGCUUACCAAAAAAUUCUCUAGAUAUUGACAAACUGGAAGAUAUUUUGGGGUGCCCGGUCCAGUCCUGGAUAGACACCACCUUGUGGCCAUUGUUUUGUGAGCAGUUAGUCAAAUAUCUGCCACAGAAAAAUGCAAAUGAACUAAACAACAUUUCAUUUAACGUUGUGUCUAACAACAUGCUACAACUGAAACCUCGCAGAGGUCCAGGCUUCUCCUGUCUGACUCAUCAACACAGAACAAAAUCACAUAAUGUGAGGCUUUUCAUAACCCUGGGAAAGUUCUCACGUGACGUCAUAACUGCAACACUUAUGAGUCAAUGCUUUGCCAAUAAGUGCAACAACAAUAAGCCUGUGACACAUUGCACCGUGCAUGCUCGAGUGUAGAGGACUCUCCGAUCCUGGGCACCAUACAGUACCCACAGCUCGCAGAAUGGCACAGCAGAUGUUGGAGGCGGGCGCGCUGGACCAAAUGAUGGAAGGACUACCAUCUGAUUUUGACUUUGAUACAUCUGAUGAAGAAGGUGAGCUCUCAGAUUCUCCACCAGUUGAGGAGCCAACGGGGCCAGUCCGGGAUGUGGUGUACGAACCUGACCCACUCUUCGACGACCCACCACCAACACCCUCGCCAGACGUCAAGCCACCUUCUCCAAAGGCUAGAAAGCGCGCCCUGUCUCCUGAAAUUGUCCACAACUCUCCUCUGCUUAGAGAUACAACAAAGUAUGAGCCUGCACCCAAAAGAAGCUAUUCUUACCACCCCAGACGCAGUCCACAGAGAGAAAAUGCUAACCAGAAGCAGAAAAGGGGACCAGACUCACGAAGACCAAACAGAUGGAACCAGAAAAGCCAGAAACAAUAUUGGUCCCCCAAACCUCUUCUGGAUUACAGCAAAAUUCCAAGAGCAGAGUACAAAAAUGCCAAACUGUUGGUGCCUACAACUGGUAAACUGCGCCCAGAGUUCUAUACUGAUCGGUUUGUGGAUGCUAUAAUUCAGAACGCUGCCAGAAAUUGUCCAGUGUCUGAAAAGGCGGUAUCACUAAAAAAUAUUGAAGAGUCUUUCAAACUGCUUAACUCUUUCUUUAACAGUGGAAUAAAUAAGGAUCAUUGGCUAUCUACAAGGUAUUUUGCAAUCUUCAACAACGGCCUGGUGGUGCUGACCCACAUGCUAGACGAACAGUUGGCCUGGGCAUAUGCUUGCCUGAAACACGGUAGGGAGUUGCCCACUGACGACAUACUCAUGUCUACUUCAGAAAAAUUGUCCCAACAGCUUGUGAUAAAACUCAUAGAGGUGAUAAAAUGUAUAGAAAAGGAUGGAAUAUUCAGCAGGAUCCUCAAAGGUGUGGCAGAUGCGGUAUGCCUUAAGGCCCAGUUCUUACGUGGUAUGAUCACCCUGAAGAGAACCCCUUGCAGCCUUCCCAUGUAUACCCUGUUUGUUUAUGUACUGACUAUUCCCACUCUGAGAACACGUGUAAUCAGGGACCCUCUGCUGACACAGUGUAAGGAUGUGGUCCUAAAGUAUCAGCCAGGCGACUGUAUAACCCUAUUGAAAGCUGCACUAAAUUGUCAUCAGUGUAACAAAGACUGUGAUAAAUGUAAAUAUAUUUUGGAUCCCCUGUUGGGACAAACACACCGCACCAAGGGGGUAUUUUUUGUGUGUGAAUAAUCAAUAAUAAACACAAUUGAACUGCA